GAUGGACAACAGGUUGAUAUUCCUGUACUACCGAUAACCGUUUGAGAGAAGGGAUGACACAGUAGGAUAAGCUAAGCACACGGUUGGUUAUGUGUGCCCAAGCAUUGAGGCAGUCAAAGUAGGCAAAUCCGCUUUGAUAAUGCUGGGAUGUGAUGGGGAGCGAAAUUUAGUAGCGAAGUAGCUGAUUUCACACUGUCAAGAAAAGUCUC
rnacentral:rRNA from 1 species